GAUGAACGCUGGCGGCGUGCCUAAUACAUGCAAGUCGUGCGGCAGCGAGCCCUUCGGGGUGUCGGCGAGCGGCGGACGGCUGGGUAACGCGUAGGAACGUACCCCAAAGUGAGGGAUAACUGCCCGAAAGGGUGGCUAAUACCGCAUGUGCUCUUCGGAGUAAAGCUAUAUGCGCUUUGGGAACGGCCUGCGUUCGAUUAGCUAGUUGGUGAGGUAAAUGCUCACCAAGGCGACGAUCGAUAGCUGGUCUGAGAGGAUGAUCAGCCAGACUGGAACUGAGACACGGUCCAGACUCCUACGGGAGGCAGCAGUAGGGAAUUUUCCACAAUGGGCGAAAGCCUGAUGGAGCAACGCCGCGUGCAGGAUGAAUGCCUUCGGGUUGUAAACUGCUUUUAUGUGCGAAGAAUUUGACGGUAACACAUGAAUAAGGAUCGGCUAACUACGUGCCAGCAGCCGCCGUAA
rnacentral:rRNA from 1 species